rnacentral:rRNA from 1 species
GACGAACGCUGGCGGCGUGCCUAAUACAUGCAAGUCGAGCGGACUGAUUAAGAGCUUGCUCUUAUGACGUUAGCGGCGGACGGGUGAGUAACACGUGGGCAACCUGCCCUGUAGAUCGGGAUAACACCGAGAAAUCGGUGCUAAUACCGGGUAAUAUCUGAGAUCACAUGAUCUUAGGUUAAAAGCUGUCUCCGGCUAUCACUACAGGAUGGGCCCGCGGCGCAUUAGCUAGUUGUUAAGGUAAUGGCUUACCAAGGCGACGAUGCGUAGCCGACCUGAGAGGGUGAUCGGCCACACUGGGACUGAGACACGGCCCAGACUCCUACGGGAGGCAGCAGUAGGGAAUCUUCCGAAAUGAACGAAAGUCUGACGGAGCAACGCCGCGUGAGUGAUGAAGGGUUGCGGCUCGUAAAGCUCUGUUGUUAGGGAAGAAACAGUACCGAACGAACUAGGUCGGUACCUUGACGGUACCUAACCAGAAAGCCACGGCUAACUACGUG